rnacentral:rRNA from 1 species
GACGAACGCUGGCGGCGUGCCUAAUACAUGCAAGUAGAACGCUGAAGGAGGAGCUUGCUUCUCUGGAUGAGUUGCGAACGGGUGAGUAACGCGUAGGUAACCUGCCUGGUAGCGGGGGAUAACUAUUGGAAACGAUAGCUAAUACCGCAUAACAGUAGAUAUCGCAUGAUAUCUACUUGAAAGGUGCAAUUGCAUCACUACCAGAUGGACCUGCGUUGUAUUAGCUAGUUGGUGAGGUAACGGCUCACCAAGGCGACGAUACAUAGCCGACCUGAGAGGGUGAUCGGCCACACUGGGACUGAGACACGGCCCAGACUCCUACAGGAGGCAGCAGUAGGGAAUCUUCGGCAAUGGACGGAAGUCUGACCGAGCAACGCCGCGUGAGUGAAGAAGGUUUUCGGAUCGUAAAGCUCUGUUGUAAGAGAAGAACGAGUGUGAGAGUGGAAAGUUCACACUGUGACGGUAGCUUACCAGAAAGGGACGGCUAACUACGUG